GCCCUGGAUCCCUGCUCAGCUCCCUCCUCCCAGCCAGAAAUUGUUAAUUCCUGAGCUGCCUCCAGCCCAGACCUCAUCACACUGGUCUCCGCCGCAGUGCAGCGCUGGGGCCGCGGAGCCUCCAGGCCCGGGGCAGGGCUGCUGGAGCAGCAGGGACGUUCCUCCCAGGUAAUGAUCAAGCAGAGCACCCGGCAAGGACAUAGGCAGUGGAGCCGGGAAGGCCACACAGAAGGAGCACCAUGAGGAGGGUGAGGACAGGCUGCUGGGGACUUUGGACCUGGCUCCUGGCUGUUGGGUUUGAGCCAUGCUGGCUGCAGACACUCAGACUGUGGCAGCUUCCAGCACCCGGAAGAGGGAGCCUCACAGCCAAGUGCCCUGGCCAGGAGCAGGCUGGGUGCACAGGUGAUGGAAUGGGCAUCUCCAUGAUCCUCACUGACCACUGCCUGGACACUAGGCAAGUCAUGAAGCAGCAAAGGGGAUGUUUCCUGUCUCAUCCUGAUUUAGAUGUGUCAAAAACCCAUUCACAACUGGACUGGAGGGUCCCCUGCCAAUAACAAGAUGGAUCUCCUCUCUCCAGGUGACUCCCUACUGUGUUCCCCAGAGGCCCCAGGAACUGCCCUCCCCACCUGCACUUUCCUGCCAGCAUCCUCCCAGACACCUGCCAGGGCCCCGGAGCACCGUGAAUGGGGCCUGGUGCCUGGCUGCACCUUGCUCUCCAUGACCUGGGUGGGCAGGUGCUGCCCCUCAGGGAUACUGGGUGCUUUCAACAGAUAAUGUGGAGUUGCUAACUGUCUCCUCUUGGGGUGCUGUGCCAACUAAACAAAGUGGAUGUAGAAGGCCCAUGAUGAAGCCUGGCAUGAGCAGGUCCUCUGUUAAAGGAAGGGGAUCAACGCAUCUGAGCACUUCCCAACCCAGAACCCUCUGCCCUGCCAUGAGCUCCCUGCCAACCCUGCACCCACCCCCUAUUUGCAAUUUCUGGGAAUGCCUCUUCUCAGUGCCCUGUGAAGCCUCAUCUGUUCCCCAGUCAGAACCAAGCCUUCCUUUCCCAUGCCCCUGGGGCAUCAUCCUCCAGUCAGGUGGUUGGGGAGAGGGUCAGCUUUGCCAGACCACCAGGAGCUGGAACCAGGACCCCAUCUUAAGGCAGGACCAACAAGGGAACUAGCAGCUACCACUCUGCUGGAGAGAGAGGGGACUUGUCCCCCAUGCUCUGCUCUGAGCAUGUCACAGGCCUGCUCCAAAACACUCAGGGGUCACUUUUGUCCAUGGUCAGGCCUCAGUGCAGAUGCUCUGUGCCCAGCUCCCCUUCUGUGCCCCCUGCUCCAGACUGAGCAGCUGCUGUCAUAGGGUGGGGUGGUGGGGUCCCCUCUCUAGAAUGUUGGGCCCUCUCCAUUUGACAUGUCUGUUUCCUGUGUGCCUUUCUUGCCACCUUGGCUUAAUCUCCUUUAUAAAGUCUGUCCCUCCAGUCCCCAGGAAUGGCCCUUGUCUCCUCUGACCCCAAGAGCCCCUCAUGGGAGCUUCUCUCCAGGCUUGGGUCACAGUCCUCCCAUGGACAGACUUAGCUGCCCCUACCCCACCUCUCCCACUGGACCACGGAUGCCCCCAAGAUGAGCCUAUUGUCUCUCUCCAGCCCAGCCCUGGACCCCAAGUGACCCCAAUGAGAAACCACCAAAGGCAAGAAGUCUGGGUGUGCAUGGAGCCCACAAGGAGAGCAAUGAAUGUGGCAAUGCAGUCCCAGGCAGGUGCUGGCUGGGACUGAGGCUGUGGGUGACAGACAUGGUGACAGGAAGAAGGACUUUACGGUCCUCUGAGGACCCAGGCCCUAGAACAGGAGGACCCAGCAGAACGUGGGACCCCUUGGCCUUGGUGUGUGAGGCCCUCACAGCCUCCCAUGAGGAUCAUGCUGAGUCCUCUAAGGACCUUCUGGCCUGAGGAUCCACACUCCUGACACACACACACCCAGACAUUACAGCUCUGCUCCCCCAGCUGAGGCAGGUCCUGUUCCCUGGGUGUGGAGACCCCAGCAAGGCUCCCCUCAGUGCAAAACAUGCUGGCCCAAUGCUGUGAGCCCUGCCAGGGUCCCCAUUAGGGGGAAGGAAGGAGCACAAGUUAAUUUAUGCCCAUGAGCUAUUACACACAAAGCUGUGUGUUUCACACUCUUUAUUUUCUGGGAUCCUAAUGAUGACAGCUCUGCACAUUCUAACUUAUUUAUCCCCAUUCAUUAGAAUAGAAAACUGCACUCAAAUGGAUUUUUCUAAUGGAGGAUCCACAGAUAAGAGACAGAACUGGGACUCCAACCCACCAUGGCCACCAGAGCAACCCCCCAAUGCCUCCUUGACCAUGAGUCCUUUGUUUCAAGGUGAAGUCCACCAAAAAAUAAAAUGAAAUGAAAUAAAAUAAAA